rnacentral:sRNA from 1 species
CCGGAUGCGCAACGCGGUCCGGCGGGACGAGAGCAUCGGCUCGUUUCCGAUGCUCCUUGUGCUCAGAUUGCUCAUUGGAGGAUUUGGAUAUGAGGA